UGCAUUCAAGUACUAUAUUGUAAGUCUAGGAUCAUAAAUCCUAUGGGAAUUGAGGGAAGAAAUCAUUCAAAAUAAAAAUGAAAUGACAAUUUAUGAUGGUUUAGCCUAUAUUUGACCAGUUAGGAAACAUUAUAGUGUGACAGAAAAUUAACUAUAUAAUUUUAGAAAAGUUAUUCAUUUUCUUUGAGCUUCAACUGCAUUAUUUGCAAGUUGAAAACCACUAUAGUAGAAUAAGUAAGACUUGAUAAUAUAUUCCACUCAGAAUUUCAAACUAUAAUUUCAGACUAGGUUAUGAGCCAUUCUUUCACUCUUAAUGCCUUGCUUUUGUGUCCUUUUAGUUAAAAAUUAUUAGUUCAGAAGACCAUGUUCCAGAUUUGGAGUUCUAUAAUAUGUCAGCAUUGACAGAUUAAAGUCAAGUGAGGCCUAACAGCAAAACAUAACUAUUUCUUAAAUUAACAACAGAAAAAGGGAUAAGGUAGUGCAUAUGGGGAUGUAGCAAUUAUACAAUUGUUAUUGGAGUUAUCCUUUAGAAUGCAAAUUGGAAAUAUCUGCUACGUUCAUAUUCUUUGACCUAAUAAUUCUAUUUUUAGUUAUCUAAGGUAUAGUUGUAAUAUGGAAAAUCUAUUAGUACCAAAAUGUGAUCACUGCAACCUUGAGCAAUACACCACAAUAUUAGAUGCAACUAAACAAAAUAUAGAGAACUGAUUAAGGAAAUUGAUGGGAUAUCAUGAGAUUACUGAAACUACUACUACUAAUCGUUAUAAAGACUGCAAUGAAGGCAACUCAAAUGCCCAUCAAGCGAGACUAGAUGAAAAAGUAUGAUAUAUUCAGUGUCUUACUAUACAAAGUCACAAUGAAUGACAUAGAGUGAUGGACAAUAUUAUGAAGAAGUCUUAGUUAUAAGAUUAUUAAAUUUAAAAAGAAGAUGCCAAAAGAUUACAUGUCAUAUGCUAAGCUUUUUAUUAUGUCAGGAUCACAUGUUUGCAAUUUAUAGUUUAUACACACACAUAUAAAUACACAUACACGAGAUAUGUGUUUAUAAUGUAUGUAAUAUACUAUAUGUAUAUAUUGAUAUAUAUACAGUAAGGGAAUGACUAAAGUAGAAUUUUGAAUGAGAGCUACCUUCACAUGGAGGAAGGCAGAGGGCGGAAUGGGGGACAUAGUGUUCGAUGGAGGUUAUUGUCAAGCUCAUGGCUUUUGGGGGGAUGGUGGUGAAUUUGCAAAGGACUUUACAGUAUUACAAACAAGUACAUGCUUGAAUCACAAAUGAAAAUGUUGUCAUAAACCAAGGAUUAUGCAAUUAUGUAUACCUUAGGGCCAAAGGAGGAAAAUUAGAUUGAGACACCUUUUAAAAUAAAAAAAUACUUCAUAAAGAUUCAUUAAUUAAAAAAACUAAAAGACAAUAAACGUAAAUAAUGGCUAGGUUACUAUGGUGACUACACAAAUUUUUUUUCUUUUUCAAAUUUUUUAAAAACACUAUUUUAAUGAGAACUAAUGUUUACAACUCAUUAAAAAAUGUAUGCAGAAAACCAUGAGUCUGUAUGUCGAAGAAUUCAUGUAACAUAAAGAAGGCAAAUGAAAUAACUAAACUGAUUAGCAUUUCAGUAGGUUUUUGACCAAUCCCCACUGCUGGAGUACCUGAGAGGAGUAACUAUUGACCUUGCAUUGACAACUAAUUUGAGAAUCAAUCAAGAAAAAGAAAGGCAACUAUUUGCAAGAGUACAUGCCAGAUCCAAUUAGUAAUGAAAAGUUACAUUACCCCUAGAAAAAUCUUCAUUUGGCACUGACCCAGAGAGUGAAACUGUGGGGUUUCAAACAUGACUGAUAUGCUCUCCUGUUCAGUUAUUUCUGCAGAGGUUGUAUAUAGAGGAGUUUUAAAUUAACAUACAUAACAUGGACUUUGAGUCCAUUAGUUGAAUGUUGAUGUGCAGGAAACCAAUAGGAAUAGGGUGUGAUUCAUAAUACAAGCAAAUUGAUUGGACAUUUUGACAAUGACGUUCAUAGAGCAUGACACUGCUGCAUGGCUGGAUAUUAAUGCACUAGGAGGCUCAUUCAGAAUUAGAAAAAUAUUACACGAAAUUAUGCUUUUAUAACAGAUUUAGCUGUAAACCUUUUUUUACAGAUAUUUUAGACCAUUUUCCACCUCUUUUAGCUUUUAAGAUAAAGCCAUGUUGCUUAAAAAAUAUAAUGAUAAUUUUUAUUACAUUUGAAGAAUUCUAAAUGCAUUAGAUGAACGGCACACUUUGCAGCACUAUAUCAUAUAUAUUUUCCUCUAAUUUAGUGUUUUCUUUCUAGCACACCAUUUGUAAUACAUAUAAAUCAGUCGAUUUCACAGUGUAUUUAUUCCAGUUUUAUAUGACCAGUAAUUGAAAAAAAAUCUUCUUGGGCAAGAAGUAGCUUUCAGAAAAUAAUCUGUUUGGGGAAUUUAAAUAGUCUUUUUCUUUUCUCUUUUGUGCUGUUCCUCACUGCAAAAAUAAAAAUCAAAGUUGGAAAAUUUUUUGAAGUAAUUAUUUAUAAUUUCAUGUCAAUCACGUUUUAUGAUCAAAAGUGUUUUGGUUUUCUCUUCUUACUAGUUAUUUAAAGGCUGUGGCCUUCAGUGCUAGGUGUGGAAAUCUAUAUAAUAGCAAAAAAUAGAGCCUAAGGUUUGAAAGAAAAAUAGCUGAGUCUGAAUCCUCAUGAUGCUGCCUUGGAAAAAAAUCAUGUAAUUUCUCAGAACCUUAUUUCCUAACAUGUGGGCAGGAAAAAGAUGAAAGCACCAACAUGGCUUACAAGGCAAUUUGGAAAAUAAAUAAAUAAAUAAUUAUUCAAAUGAGCAAAACUCUUAUUGUUUUUAAUAGUGAAGAACCUUAAAUCAAACUCCCCUCCCAGAGUAAGGUGGAUCAGGCUGUAACUGGAGCAUACAGGUUUUGUUUUGUUUUGUUUUUGUAAAGAAAUGAGGAAAAGCAUCUCUCCUUGGAGUUCAGGGACCCAGUGUGAGAUUAUGCCCACGCCAUCAUGUUUUCCUGAGAGCUUGCUCUCUGCAGAGUUAAACUAGAAGACUCUGGGCUCCUACAUAAGCACCUAUACAUAGAUGUGUUUCUGUGGGUAUUGUGGACAAGAGGCUUCACUAUUGGAGCUGUAGCUGCCAGCCUGUGUGUCAGAAAGUAGAAAGAAACAUGGUACAAGUGCACUCAUAAUCACAAUGCCUGGUCUAAGGCUUCUAGUAUUGCCAAAAAUCAUAAUAUGUCAAGAUACAUAUUCGGAGUUCCCGUCGUGGCGCAAUGGUUAACGAAUCCGACUAGGAACCAUGAGGUCGCGGGCUUGAUCCCUGGCCUUGCUUAGUGGGUUAAGGGUCCGGCAUUGCCAUGAGCUGUGGUGUAGUUUUCUAGUUAAAUUUUAAGAUCAUUUUGUUGUGUUCUAUAGAAAAAUAGUAAGGAUUUUGACAGUAGUUUUCUUAAAUAUAGGUGUCACUUUGGGAACAACUGACUUUUUAGAAAACUGAGUUCUCCCAUUCAAAACAUGGUGGUGGUCUCUACAUAAGCUUGUUGUUCUUAAUAUCUGUCUUCCAAGUUCUCAAAAGCCAUACAUGGCUAGUGGCAACCAUACUGAACAAGGCAGGACUAGAUUAUUUGAUGUCAUCAGAAUUUAGAUCAUAAUUGAAACCUUCAAACUGUUGGAGUGGGUCCAAAUAGAGUGAUUGGUGGCUAUAAAAAGAUAGCUUGUUACAAAAUACAAAGAAACAACUGAGAGUUAAGAAACACAGAAGAGAAUCCUGUGGAAAGGACUAAGAGAAUGGCUUAAGAAGUAGGACAAAAGGAGAGAUUUGUCACUUAAGAGGUAAAAAAAGAGAGUAUUUCAGGAAAGAUUAUUGCUCCUAAAUUAGAAAAUUUUCCUAUCUUAUCAAGUUGCAACUUCAAUGUAUAGUUGGAUAAAUAAAAAACUCAUUGGCAUGAAGAAGUAAUGACCAAAAAUUGUUUUGAGUAUCUAACAGAUUUAGAUAAUCUGUGAAGAAUUUUAGCUGUUUAACAAUUUAACUAAUUUCUAAUACAUAGCUUUUACCAACAGGUAAUUUCUAAUCUAGGCAUAAAACUUUCUAUUUCAUUUUGUAAUAGAAUAGGGUCACUUUUCCUCUUCUAUUUUUCUCACAUUCCACAUCUAAAAUAUUAUAACUAUUGUAAUUUACGACUUUAAAAAUCUCUUCUCAGAAGGCCUAUUCUUAGCAGGAGAUGAACUUGUAUAAGCCACCAUCACCUGUUGCUUGGGAUGAUACAAAAGACUUGAACGAGGACUCCCUGAUUUUACCAAAACUUCUGUUCUUUAUUUCAGAGUCAGAAGAUGCCUUUUACAAAAUAAGUCAGUUCCUACUAUUCCUCUCCUGAAAACUCUUGGAUAGCCUUCUAGAUCUCUUAGGGUAAAAGAGAAAGUACAUAAAAAAUUCAUGCAAGUCCCUCCAUGCUCGGACCACCUGUGCCUGACUGAUGGCAUCUCCUGCAGGACUUCCCCCUUCUCCUAUCCAGCCAUCCUAACAAUCUUUGAACCUUCCAAACCAGUUCCCACUUCUAAGUUUCCUCCUUCACUUUAUUCAAAUCUUUGCCCAAAUUUCACUUUACCAUAAAGACCAUUUUUGGUCUAAUAAAAAGAAUAGCUACCUUUCCUUUGUUCUAUGUAUAUUUUUCUCUUUAAUUUCUCUUUGCAAUACUUCUUACCAUUUCACUUCUAUUGUAUUCACUUGUAUUAUAUUGUAUACUUUCUUCUCCUACUAGAAUGUGAGUCUCAUGAGGGCAUGGGCUUUAUUUUGUUCACUGCUAGGUCCUCAGAGCCAAGAGUAGUGCUGGUACUUAGUAAAUGUGCAAUAUUUGUAAUUGAAUGAAUGACUAAACAUAUUUCUGGAUAUUUUUUAAAAAAUCACCCCAGGUCUUCUAAAUCAUUGCUGGCAUUAAAAAUAAUGUUUCCAAUUUUGAAGUCAUUCAGUGAAGGCUUUCUCUCCCCAGAGAAGAUUCAAUUUCAU
rnacentral:lncRNA from 1 species